UAGCGAAGCUCUUGAUCAAAGCCCGAGUAAACGGCGGCCGUAACUAUAACGGUCCUAAGGUAGCGAAAUUCCUUGUCGGUUAAAUACCGACCUGCAUGAAUGGCGUAACGAGAUGGGAGCUGUCUCAAAGAGGGAUCCAGUGAAAUUGUAGUGGAGGUGAAAAUUCCUCCUACCCGCGGCAAGACGGAAAGACCCCGUGGACCUUUACUACAGCUUGACACUGCUACUUGGAUAAGAAUGUGCAGGAUAGGUGGGAGGCUUUGAGUAUAUGACGCCAGUUGUAUAUGAGCCAUUGUUGAGAUACCACUCUUUCUUAUUUGGGUAGCUAACCAGCUUGAGUUAUCCUCAAGUGGGACAAUGUCUGGUGGGUAGUUUGACUGGGGCGGUCGCCUCCCAAAUAAUAACGGAGGCUUACAAAGGUUGGCUCAGAACGGUUGGAAAUCG
rnacentral:rRNA from 1 species